GACGAACGCUGGCGGCGUGCUUAACACAUGCAAGUCGAACGGAAAGGCCCUGCUUUUGUGGGGUGCUCGAGUGGCGAACGGGUGAGGAACACGUGAGUAACCUGCCCUUGACUUUGGGAUAACUUCAGGAAACUGGGGCUAAUACCGGAUAGGAGCUCCUGCUGCAGGGUGGGGGUUGGAAAGUUUCGGCGGGUGGGGCUGGACUCGCGGCUUAUCAGCUUGUUGGUGGGGUAGUGGCUUACCAAGGCUUUGACGGGUAGCCGGCCUGAGAGGGUGACCGGCCACAUUGGGACUGAGAUACGGCCCAGGCUCCUACGGGAGGCAGCAGUGGGGAAUAUUGCACAAUGGGCGGAAGCCUGAUGCAGAAACGCCGCGUGCGGGAUGACGGCCUUCGGGUUGUAAACCGCUUUCGCCUGUGACGAAGCGUGAGUGACGGUAAUGGGUAAAGAAGCACCGGCUAACUACGUG
rnacentral:rRNA from 1 species